UACGUAGGGUGCAAGCGUUGUCCGGAAUUAUUGGGCGUAAAGAGCUCGUAGGCGGUUUGUCGCGUCUGCUGUGAAAACUCAGGGCUUAACCCUGAGCUUGCAGUGGGUACGGGCAGACUAGAGUGCGGUAGGGGAGACUGGAAUUCCUGGUGUAGCGGUGAAAUGCGCAGAUAUCAGGAGGAACACCGGUGGCGAAGGCGGGUCUCUGGGC
rnacentral:rRNA from 1 species